UGAUUGAUUAAAAAUAAAUAAUAUAAUUAAUCUUUUCUGGAAGAGCCAACUUCUGAAAGAGCAAGAAUCUGCAGCAUAUCGACAUCUAGAAGAUUCAUUUAUUGAUUGAUGAUACACAAAUGGCUAUUAUACAGAUUGCAUUGAGUUCGAGUGAGUCAACUGACAGUGAUUCCGAAGUUAAUUAUUUAUUGCAUUGCCAAAGUUAUUAAACCAACAAGUGCUUUUAUUGAGUGGUUACGCCACCCUGAACGCAGGAGAAUUGGAUGGUUUUUUAGCAAUUUUUUUUUACAAAAAUAUUUGAGAUAUUGAAAACACAAAUCUUCUUCUGCUUACGCGGUUAUAACCGAGUCGACAACAGCGUGCCACGCAUCUCUACUUUUGUUAUUAGGCGUCAAUUGGUAAUACCAAGUGAAGACAGGUCCUUCUCCACCUGGUCGUUCCAUCGGAGUGCAGGUCUCCCUCUUCCUCGGCUUCCACCAGCGGGUACCGCAUCGAAAACUUUCAGAGCUGAGGCACUUUCGUCCAUUCGAACAA